AAAGUUCGCUACGUUUUGUCGAGGCUGAAUGAGCCCACCGUUCAACGUGACACGAUAACCCAAACUAACCGACGGAGGCAGCGGUAAAGCAGCAACUCCCGUGUAAACUGUCCCUUUUUAAAUUAAAUAUAUUAACAAAUAUCAGACAACAGAGAAAACAGCUCACACGAAUGAGAACAGCAGAUGAAAGAGGAAAGGGUGAAUCAAAAAGAUAAGUUCAAAACGUGAACUAUUCCUUUAAGUUACUCUUUAACUUGAACUUGCUGUCUUGCCCAGACUCUGCUACAUUUCUGUGUUCAACAAGGGUGUAACUUUGGGUUCAACAUUAGGGGGGGGUUCAAACAUUGAAAACACGACAAUUAACUCAGAAAAAC